ACCCCGCGCCGAAAAUGUACCGGGGCUAAACAUAUUACCGAAACUGUGGAUGAACCUCUUUAGAGGUUCGUGGUAGGAGAGCGUUCUAAGGGCGGUGAAGUCAGACCGGAAGGACUGGUGGAGCGCUUAGAAGUGAGAAUGCCGGUAUGAGUAGCGAAAGAAGGGUGAGAAUCCCUUCCACCGAAUAUCUAAGGUUUCCUGAGGAAGGCUCGUCCGCUCAGGGUUAGUCGGGACCUAAGCCGAGGCCGAUAGGCGUAGGCGAUGGACAACAGGUAGAGAUUCCUGUACCAGUGCUAAUUGUUUAACCGAUGGGGUGACACAGAAGGAUAGGGAAUCGCACGAAUGGAAAUGUGCGUCCAAGCAGUGAGUGUGAGAAGUAGGCAAAUCCGCUUCUCGCGAAGCAUGAGCUGUGAUGGGGAAGGAAAUUAAGUACGGAAGUUCCUGAUUUCACGCUGUCAAGAAAAGCCUCUAGGAAGAGUAGUACUGCCCGUACCGCAAACCGACACAGGUAGAUGAGGAGAGAAUCCUAAGGUGAGCGAGAGAACUCUCGUUAAGGAACUCGGCAAAAUGACCCCGUAACUUCGGGAGAAGGGGUGCUCUAUUAGGGUGCAAGCCCGAGAGAGCCGCAGUGAAUAGGCCCAGGCGACUGUUUAGCAAAAACACAGGUCUCUGCAAAACCGUAAGGUGACGUAUAGGGGCUGACGCCUGCCCGGUGCUGGAAGGUUAAGAGGAGUGCUUAGCUUCGGCGAAGGUACGAAUUGAAGCCCCAGUAAACGGCGGCCGUAACUAUAACGGUCCUAAGGUAGCGAAAUUCCUUGUCGGGUAAGUUCCGACCCGCACGAAAGGCGCAACGAUCUGGGCACUGUCUCAACGAGAGACUCGGUGAAAUUAUAGUACCUGUGAAGAUGCAGGUUACCCGCGACAGGACGGAAAGACCCCGUGGAGCUUUACUGCAACCUGAUAUGGAAUGUUUGUACCGCUUGUACAGGAUAGGUAGGAGCCGAAGAGACGUGUGCGCUAGCAUACGAGGAGGCAAUGGUGGGAUACUACCCUGGCUGUAUGACCAUUCUAACCCGCCACGCUUAGCGCGUGGGGAGACAGUGUCAGGUGGGCAGUUUGACUGGGGCGGUCGCCUCCUAAAGAGUAACGGAGGCGCCCAAAGGUUCCCUCAGAAUGGAUGGAAAUCAUUCGCAGAGUGUAAAGGCACAAGGGAGCUUGACUGCGAGACUGACAAGUCGAGCAGGGACGAAAGUCGGGCUUAGUGAUCCGGUGGUUCCGCAUGGAAGGGCCAUCGCUCAACGGAUAAAAGCUACCCCGGGGAUAACAGGCUUAUCUCCCCCAAGAGUCCACAUCGACGGGGAGGUUUGGCACCUCGAUGUCGGCUCGUCGCAUCCUGGGGCUGUAGUCGGUCCCAAGGGUUGGGCUGUUCGCCCAUUAAAGCGGCACGCGAGCUGGGUUCAGAACGUCGUGAGACAGUUCGGUCCCUAUCCGUCGCGGGCGCAGGAAAUUUGAGAGGAGCUGUCCUUAGUACGAGAGGACCGGGAUGGACACACCGCUGGUGUACCAGUUGUUCCGCCAGGAGCAUCGCUGGGUAGCUAUGUGUGGCAGGGAUAAACGCUGAAAGCAUCUAAGCGUGAAGCCCCCCUCAAGAUGAGAUUUCCCAUUUCUUCGGAAAGUAAGAUCCCUGAAAGAUGAUCAGGUAGAUAGGUUUGGAGUGGAAGUGUAGCGAUACAUGGAGCGGACAAAUACUAAUCGAUCGAGGACUUAACCAAAAA
rnacentral:rRNA from 1 species